rnacentral:rRNA from 1 species
ACGGGUGAGUAACGCUUCGGAAUCUGCCCAGUAGUGGGGAAUAACCAACCGAAAGGUUGGCUAAUGCCGCAUACGUCCUGAGGGAGAAAGCGGGGGAUCGCAAGACCUCGCGCUAUUGGAUGAGCCGAAGUCGGAUUAGCUAGUUGGUGGGGUAACGGCCUACCAAGGCGACAAUCCGUAGCUGGUCUGAGAGGACGACCAGCCACACUGGGACUGAGACACGGCCCAGACUCCUACGGGAGGCAGCAGUGGGGAAUAUUGGACAAUGGGGGAAACCCUGAUCCAACGACGCCGCGUGUGUGAAGAAGGCCUGCGGGUUGUAAAGCACUUUUAGUGGGGAUGAAAAGUCCAGGACUAAUACUUCUGGAUCUUGACCUUACCCAAAGAAAAAGCACCGGCUAACUCUGUGCCAGCAGCCGCGG